UACGUAGGGGGCAAGCGUUGUCCGGAUUUAUUGGGCGUAAAGAGCGUGUAGGCGGCCUGACAGGUCUGCUGUGAAAACUCGAGGCUCAACCUCGAGAUGUCGGCGGAAACCGUCUGGCUAGAGUUCGGAAGAGGCGAGUGGAAUUCCCGGUGUAGCGGUGAAAUGCGCAGAUAUCGGGAGGAACACCAGUGGCGAAGGCGGCUACCUGGACCGGUUCUGACGCUGAGGCGCGAAAGCGUGGGUAGCAAACAGG
rnacentral:rRNA from 1 species